AACAUUCAUUGCUGUCGGUGUGUU
rnacentral:miRNA from 1 species